rnacentral:rRNA from 1 species
UGCCGCGUGUGUGAAGAAGGCCUUCGGGUUGUAAAGCACUUUUGUCCGGAAAGAAAUUGCUCUGGCUAAUACCUGGGGUAGAUGACGGUACCGGAAGAAUAAGCACCGGCUAACUACGUGCCAGCAGCCGCGGUAAUACGUAGGGUGCGAGCGUUAAUCGGAAUUACUGGGCGUAAAGCGUGCGCAGGCGGUUUUGUAAGACAGGCGUGAAAUCCCCGGGCUCAACCUGGGAAUUGCGCUUGUGACUGCAAGGCUAGAGUGCGUCAGAGGGGGGUAGAAUUCCACGUGUAGCAGUGAAAUGCGUAGAGAUGUGGAGGAAUACCGAUGGCGAAGGCAGCCCCCUGGGACGUGACUGACGCUCAUGCACGAAAGCGUGGGGAGCAAACAGGAUUAGAUACCCUGGUAGUCCACGCCCUAAACGAUGUCAACUAGUUGUUGGGGAUUCAUUUUCUCAGUAACGUAGCUAACGCGUGAAGUUGACCGCCUGGGGAGUACGGUCGCAAGAUUAAAACUCAAAUGAAUUGACGGA